rnacentral:rRNA from 1 species
CCGUAGCCCAAGAGAUCGGGAUAACACCUGGAAACAGAUGCUAAUACCGGAUAACAACAGAUGAUGCCUAUCAACUGUUUAAAAGAUGGUUCUGCUAUCACUCUUGGAUGGACCUGCGGUGCAUUAGCUAGUUGGUAGGGUAACGGCCUACCAAGGCGAUGAUGCAUAGCCGAGUUGAGAGACUGAUCGGCCACAUUGGGACUGAGACACGGCCCAAACUCCACGGGAGGCAGCAGC